rnacentral:lncRNA from 1 species
CAACCACCCUCCGUACCCAUGAAUCCACAGCUACAAAGGGCUGACUGUAUUGAUCCAAAAAAAAAAGAAAGUGGAUUUUUUAAAAUGAUCUUUUGCAGUUUGUGGGUCUCUGUAUCUUUCAACACAUAACUUCACCAUUUAUAGAGUAAAUGGUGGAAGUGAGAUCGGCGUAUUUACUGACUUACCCAGGUUUGAGGAUAAGUGAAUCCUGACUAGUGGCUUGUCCACCAACCACUGAUGCUUUAGUUCUGUUCAGCAGGUUCUAGUCACGGCUUCUGUUGUUGCCUUUUAAAAGAAGUGAUAGCCAGUCACUUUGUAUUUUCAUUCCUCUCUAUUUCUGCUUUUG